GACGAACGCUGGCGGCGUGCCUAACACAUGCAAGUCGAACGGACGAGGAGGAGCUUGCUUCUCCAAGUCAGUGGCGGACGGGUGAGUAACGCGUGAGUAACCUGCCCUUCAGAGGGGGAUAACGUCUGGAAACGGACGCUAAUACCGCAUGACAUAUUUCCAUCGCAUGGUGGAGAUAUCGAAGGAGCAAUCCGCUGAAGGAUGGACUCGCGUCCGAUUAGAUAGUUGGCGGGGUAACGGCCCACCAAGUCGACGAUCGGUAGCCGGACUGAGAGGUUGAACGGCCACAUUGGGACUGAGACACGGCCCAGACUCCUACGGGAGGCAGCAGUGGGGGAUAUUGCACAAUGGGCGAAAGCCUGAUGCAGCAACGCCGCGUGAGGGAAGACGGUUUUCGGAUUGAAAACCUCUGUUCUAAGUGACGAACAAAUGACGGUAGCUUAGGAGAAAGCCCCGGCUAACUACGUGCCAGCAGCCGCGGUAAUACGUAGGGGGCAAGCGUUGUCCGGAAUUACUGGGUGUAAAGGGAGCGCAGGCGGAGAAGCAAGUCAGUGGUGAAAACGAUGGGCUUAACUCAUCGACUGCCAUUGAAACUGUUUCCCUUGAGUGAAGUAGAGGCAGGCGGAAUUCCGAGUGUAGCGGUGAAAUGCGUAGAUAUUCGGAGGAACACCAGUGGCGAAGGCGGCCUGCUGGGCUUUAACUGACGCUGAGGCUCGAAAGUGUGGGGAGCAAACAGGAUUAGAUACCCUGGUAGUCCACACUGUAAACGA
rnacentral:rRNA from 1 species